AAUCAACGCUGGCGGCGUGCCUAACACAUGCAAGUCGAACGCGAAAGCCCCUUCGGGGGCGAGGUAGAGUGGCGUCCGGGUGAGUAACACGUGGGUAAUCUACCUCCGGGUGGGGAAUAACUCGCCGAAAGGCGGGCUAAUACCGCAUAAUGCAGCGGCACCGAAUGGUGAUUAGUUGUUAAAGCGGGGGACCUUAGGGCCUCGCGUCUGGAGAGGAGCCUGCGGCAGAUUAGCUUGUUGGUAGGGAAUGGCCUACCAAGGCUGCGAUCUGUAGCUGGUCUGAGAGGACGGCCAGCCACACUGGCACUGACACACGGGCCAGACUCCUACGGGAGGCAGCAGUGGGGAAGUUUUGGGCAAUGGGCGAAAGCCUGACCCAGCAACGCCGCGUGAAGGA
rnacentral:rRNA from 1 species